UGUCUGGAUGUGUGGACUACCGUAAGGGACCUCAUGAAUAGCGACAGCAACACCAAUGAAGAUGCUGCCUCUGAAGCCCCGAAUGCAACUGCAUAAGCCCAUGGAUCAGUAUCAGUAUCAGUAUCACCCUUCAUUCACUCCGGACACAGCACAGCAGGACUCCUCCUACACACACAAACUAUACACAUUUUGACCUAAACCUAAAACACAACCAAUGUUGCAAGAACUGAAGAACUCUUCAGGUUCCAAUGCAAGUCAUUUGAGAGUACAAAGAACAGAACACAUAACUGAUGGAAUUAAACCUAAAGAACAGGACGAUCAGGACAUAUCAACCAAGGGACAACAAUUGUCAGCUCACUUAUCAGUAUGAUUGCCUAAAGCAGAUCUCUACAAACAUAUAAUCAAAGGAAGAAUCCUAUACCCUCCUCACACGGAAAAUACCUAACCAACAAUUAGUUCCUAAAGGAAGAAAAUUCCAACUAACUUUAAAGAAAAUGAGAAGAAUUUUGAACCUCUGUUAUAUGCGGAAGAACCGCCGGAACCCCAAUUUGAAAUGGGAAUUUAAUUGAUACUUAUGUUUUGUAUACGCCUAUCAAAUAUCAUAGCUACUAGCAUUAAAAUAUAA